GCGCAGAAAUAUAAUUUUUAAUUGGAGCGAAAACAUUUUAGCCAAUCAUAGCGCGCGUCCGUCCACUAUUGAUUGUUGUCUACGCGCCAUGUUCUGUACACGCAAAUUAUGAGCGAGAUAGCACGAGUCUUUGUCGUUCUUGUGUUUAAAUCUUAACGUCAAGCAAUAAGGUCUGUAUUUCAUUGGUACAUUCGGUUAUAUUCGGCGUUAGGUUGCGCUUCUCUGCGCAAACGAAUUUUGCCGAUACGAGUUAUAAAAGUGGUAGUAUAAGUACAGAAACUUUGUU